rnacentral:rRNA from 1 species
UGGGGAAUAUUGGACAAUGGGGGAAACCCUGAUCCAGCGACGCCGCGUGAGUGAAGAAGUAUUUCGGUAUGUAAAGCUCUAUCAGCAGGGAAGAAAAUGACGGUACCUGACUAAGAAGCCCCGGCUAACUACGUGCCAACAGCCGCGGUAAUACGUAGGGGGCAAGCGUUAUCCGGAUUUACUGGGUGUAAAGGGAGCGCAGACGGCGAAGCAAGUCUGAAGUGAAAUGCAUGGGCUCAACCCAUGAAUUGCUUUGGAAACUGUUUGGCUUGAGUGUCGGAGGGGUAAGCGGAAUUCCUAGUGUAGCGGUGAAAUGCGUAGAUAUUAGGAGGAACACCGGAGGCGAAGGCGGCUUACUGGACGACAACUGACGUUGAGGCUCGAAGGCGUGGGGAGCAAACAGGAUUAGAUACCCUGGUAGUCCACGCAGUAAACGAUGAAUACUUGGUGUCGGGGAGGUAAACUCUUCGGUGCCGCAAGCAAACGCAUUAAGUAUUCCACCUGGGGAGUACGUUCGCAAGAAUG